rnacentral:misc_RNA from 1 species
GAUGAAGAACGCAGCGAAAUGCGAUACUUGGUGUGAAUUGCAGAAUCCCGUGAACCAUCGAGUCUUUGAACGCAAGUUGCGCCCGAAGCCAUUAGGCCGAGGGCACGCCUGCCUGGGCGUCACACGUCGUUGCCCCCCCAUCUACUCCUUCGGGAUUGCGGGGGGCGGAUGAUGGCCUCCCGUGCGCCUCGCCGCGCGGUUGGCAUAAAUGCCAAGUCCUCGGCGAUGCACGCCACGACAAUCGGUGGUUGCGAAACCUCGGUUGCCCGUCGUGUGCGGUCGUCGCGCAUCGAGGGCUCGAAAAAAUUGCCGGGUUCCGGCUCGGCUUUCAACGCGACCCCAGGUCAGGCGGGGUUACCCGCUGAAUUUAAGCAUAUCAAUAAGCGGAGGA